rnacentral:rRNA from 1 species
UACAGAGGUCUCAAGCGUUGUUCGGAUUCAUUGGGCGUAAAGGGUGCGUAGGCGGCGCGGUAAGUCGGGUGUGAAAGUCUCGGAGCUUAACUCCGAAACUGCAUUCGAUACUGCCGUGCUUGAGGACUGGAGAGGAGACUGGAAUUUACGGUGUAGCUGGUGAAAUGCGUAGAUAUCGUAAGGAAGACCAGUGGCGAAGGCGGGUCUCUGGACAGUUCCUGACGCUGAGGCACGAAGGUCAGGGGAGCAAACGGG